GUCAUUUAAUUCUGAGGAGGCCGGGGUUCCCCUGGCGAUCCACUAGAAGUCACUACUGCACUUUUCGAUGUUGCACUUUGUAGACGGUCCCUACGCACUCGCUUCACACCUGGCUUUUGACUGGCACAUAGGGACCAAGGUUGUAGGCUACUUCGAGCUUGGAGGAUAGCUCGUUUUGAUAAAAAUUAGGUUGUAGCUCGUUUUCUUCCUUAUGGUUGGAAAAGACAUCAUCUGUGUAACAACGUUUCGCUUAUGAUUUAUUGACCCGGGAACUUCGAAUCUGUGAAUAACUUUCCAACUUUACCGAAGUGUCAUAUCCUCGUGUGUAGGUGAAAGUGAAAGUGGCCACACAUUCACUUUUAUGUGAAAAACACAAAAAGAAUAUGUGAUAAUGGGAUAAUGGAAAGGAGUGAUCAAGACUUGUCAUCGCUUCAUCUAAACUUUGUAACCCGCAUAGGCUUACACUGUGAAACACUUCAGGAGUUUGGAGUGGAUCAUUCUGACUCUCACGUUAAUCAGCUGGACUACCAGAGGGAUUUGGACUCCAUGAUCAUCAGCUUUACGUGCAAGACCCCCUUUAGUUGCUCAUGGAGUGGAUGCUGGUGUGCUGCUUAUGGAUCUAUUUAGGCACUGCUGCUGCUCUUGAUGUUGUGAAAGU